UUGCAACACACCUGAAUCGUCAAAUAUUUUUUAAUAUAUAUUUGUUGAUUCAGGUUUGUAUGCAAAC